UUGGUAGUCAUUAGAGUGAGGUUGUGUUUCGGCCACAAUGUGGGGCUUUGGCCCACCAAG
rnacentral:tRNA from 1 species